CAGAGAAAGUGGUGCUGGGCUGCGCCGGUGGGUAGCUCCAAGGAGUCCUCUUCGUCCUGUUUCCUUCUCAGAAGUUAGACCUUGGGAUGGCUUCCAGUGGCACUGAGGUCAGAGCUAUUGCUCCAGCUAAAGCUAACAGUGUUCUGCUCAGGAAGUGGACCCCUGCCUUCCCAGAAGACAACAGAACAGAAGCAGCUGGAGGUGGGAGACUGCAAACAGGUGUGCAGGAGGAUGAGGAAGAAGCUGAACAGAAGCAUGAGGCAGAGUUCUACAGACAGCGGAGAUUGUUUUCCAUUCACUCUGGCAAGGACACCCACACCUUUUACAUCAAUUUACAACAAGAAGGACAAUUUCCUUCUCGAGAGUGCCAAUGGGGGGAUGAGGAGGAGGCUGGAGAGGAGGGAAAGAGGGUAGUCCGAGUAUAAGAGGACCUCUGGGCUUCCAGAAGCAGCAGACAUCAAGUACAGGCCACAGGGUUAGGAGGAACAGUCAGUCCCUUAGAAUCACUUUCUACCAGAGGCAGAAGGGGCUCAGCCACCAACAACCCCAUUUGACAGAGGAGAAAUCAAGGCUGUAGUCAAUUCUCCCUAAACUGCAGAGUGAGAAGCCAAGCGUAGACCAGAGCACUAUCUCCCGGCAUAGGGAGGGAAAGCUUCUUGACUCUGGAAUUGCCUGGGAAGGGCAAAACAUUUGCAGCCACACAGCCAGGAGCCCGGUUGGUUAUUUUUAGCUUACUGAAUGUCAAAAUCCAGGCUGCUCCUCCCAGUGGCCUCCACUUGUCAGACCCAAUCAAGGCAUGUGCAUGUCAGGCAGGGGAAUCAGCUUCCCACAGAAGCAGCCUUGAGGCCCCAUCCAGUCCCACAUGGUGCCCCUGAUAAGGCCCUGGGGUGUCCCUCAUGGGGUCCAAGUCCAGCUGGUUGGGAGCAGCUCUCCACCCACCUGCCAGGGCGUGGCUCCCACCUGCAGCCUGGGUCACACCUGAGCACAGUCCGCAGCCUUUGCUUGCCUGGGUUUUCCCUGGGCUGAAGCCAGCUCGGCAGCCCUGCUUUGAAUCAACAUAGUUUACAGGAAUAAAAGCAAGCUCCAGUCCUGAGUGCUGCCCAACUGUCGGAACACCUACUGGCUGGGCUUUGGACACAAACACUCCCCCUGAGCCUCAGGAGGCUGACAGUCCCCUGGACAGAAGAGCAUGAGGCCUUCGUGCUGGGAUCUCAGGACGGGUUGCACAGGACUUUGUGAGAUAAUGUUGCUGAGCAGUCAGAGCCACUGACCUUUAGAGAAACGCUGAGGUGGAAUUUCCCUGGUGACUUUUCCUCUACAUACGUGAUUGGGAGUCUGGCUCCUGGACGCAAGAUGGUCAGGGGCAUCACCAAAGAAGAGGACAGGAUUGUGCUCAGCAGAAGGGAGCUGCGAGCCUGGGCCUGCUCUCUGGCCUUCAAAGAACAGCUGGGAUGGAUGAAGGCAGGGAGAGCAGGAUGUUGUG
ensembl:lncRNA